CAACGUUCUAUUUGAGAAAAGAAGGGGACACGCUGGAAUGCAGAUGUGAUAGAUGGAGUGGGGCAGCCAUCUUGGCUCAUAAGGUGGAAACCACAUGUUUAGGAUGGCAGAACCACAAAAUAGAGGCCUGAAUCCCCAGUGACCAUGGACCUGGGUCUGCCUUUACAAAAAUGAAUGAAAAGCCAAGGUUUCUAAGGGUAUAUGAUCCAGGCUGCACACAAGGAACUCUCAAUGGCCUUCACGUUAAGUCAUUUAAAACAAUCCAGCCAUGCUCUGCUGUGGAAAUCACUAGCCACUGGCUGUCAUCAUAUCAAUUUGUUAUUGUUAAUGAGAUGGCGUUAGUUAUAUAAUUCUUAAUUUACCAUGAAAACUGUAUGUCAACUCUUCAACAGCAAAAAUAUGCAAAGGGAAAAUGGUGGCAUCUUCCUUGUGCUGGCAAUUCCACAGUAACGUUCAAGCGUCUUCCCAGUCGUGGAGCUGCUGCCAGGGCUUCCAAG
rnacentral:lncRNA from 1 species